rnacentral:rRNA from 1 species
AGUUUGAUCCUGGCUCAGGAUGAACGCUGGCGGCGUGCCUAACACAUGCAAGUCGAACGAGAAAGCAUAAGGGAAGUCUUCGGAUGGAACUUAUGGUUUCGAGUGGCGGACGGGUGAGUAACACGUGGGUAACCUGCCUUACAGAGGGGGAUAACAGAGAGAAAUUUCUGCUAAUACCGCAUAAGCACACAGUACCGCAUGGUACAGGGUGAAAAGAGUUAUCGCUGUAAGAUGGACCCGCGUCUGAUUAGCCAGUUGGCAGGGUAACGGCCUACCAAAGCAACGAUCAGUAGCCGACCUGAGAGGGUGAUCGGCCACAUUGGGACUGAGACACGGCCCAAACUCCUACGGGAGGCAGCAGUGGGGGAUAUUGCACAAUGGAGGAAACUCUGAUGCAGCGACGCCGCGUGAGUGAAGAAGUAUUUCGGUAUGUAAAGCUCUAUCAGCAGGGAAGAAAAUGACAGUACCUGACUAAGAAGCCCCGGCUAACUACGUGCC